rnacentral:rRNA from 1 species
GACGAACGCUGGCGGCGUGCCUAAUACAUGCAAGUCGAACGCUUCUUUUUCCACCGGAGCUUGCUCCACCGGAAAAAGAGGAGUGGCGAACGGGUGAGUAACACGUGGGUAACCUGCCCAUCAGAAGGGGAUAACACUUGGAAACAGGUGCUAAUACCGUAUAACAAUCAAAACCGCAUGGUUUUGAUUUGAAAGGCGCUUUCGGGUGUCGCUGAUGGAUGGACCCGCGGUGCAUUAGCUAGUUGGUGAGGUAACGGCCACCAAGGCCACGAUGCAUAGCCGACCUGAGAGGGUGAUCGGCCACAUUGGGACUGAGACACGGCCCAA